AUUGAACGCUGGCGGCAUGCUUUACACAUGCAAGUCGAACGGCAGCAUGGGGGCAACCCUGGUGGCGAGUGGCGAACGGGUGAGUAAUAUAUCGGAACGUACCCGGAAAUGGGGGAUAACGUAGCGAAAGUUACGCUAAUACCGCAUAUGCCCUAAGGGGGAAAGCGGGGGACUCGCAAGAACCUCGCGUUUUCGGAGCGGCCGAUAUCGGAUUAGCUAGUAGGUGAGGUAAAGGCUCACCUAGGCGACGAUCCGUAGCUGGUCUGAGAGGACGACCAGCCACACUGGAACUGAGACACGGUCCAGACUCCUACGGGAGGCAGCAGUGGGGAAUUUUGGGACAAUGGGCGCAAGCCUGAUCCAGCCAUGCCGCGUGAGUGAAGAAGGCCUCGGUUGUAAGCUCGUUUCUAGCCGGAA
rnacentral:rRNA from 1 species